CAGACAUUCUUCAAUUCUGCCAGCAGUUUGAUUUUCAUGAAAUCAUUCUUUUUGUCUAGCUUUUGUUUUCAUCAAAUGAUCUGAUUGUCUCAUUGGUUGUGGGCAUGCAGGGACAAAACUAUGAGACAUCCCACAUCGGAGAAACAAGAAAUAACCUGUGAGCAAGUGCCUAUAAAACAUCGAGCAGACAACGUGGUUAAAGCACGCAGCCGCGCGGUGAGCACAAAGCGAACUAUUCUUUCGCCUUUUACUAAAGAAUACCGUGUGCGCGCCGCAAUCAGCGGCAUACGCUUAUUUUUGGAGGGUUCUUUUCAUUUUGUGAAGGACCCUAACUGAACAGUUUUAAGUUUCGCUUCUCUUGAGACAACAAAUUUAUCAAAGAAAUAUAGUCUAUGUGGCGGUAUGCCUGUAUUCUUGUUGAGUACUCAAAUUGUGAAGUGUGUAUGAAGUACAUGGGUCAUUAUCUACGCGUUCUGUCAACACUACCGUCAAAGCCUUUGCAGAGUUACCGGACCACUGCUUCUAAAGUGCUGAAGGGGAUAAAACGUAGUCGAGACUCAUAGUAUGUGAUCUGGCUAUGCUUCCAGACAUGCGAGCUCUUGUACAGUCAACAUGUUACCGAGGGUUUCUUUAAAGUAUUACCAAAUCAGUAUAAACAGUCUCGAAACGAAGUCAUGAUAAUAAGUUCCUGCUUUUAGAUUCCAUCUUUUACUAACAGAGUAAAAGCCUUGAAAUUUCACUUAACAAAAAAGGAGAGCAGUGAUCUACAAGUAUUUAUUCAGUCCUCAAUCCUUAGCUCUGCAACUGCAUCAGUAUCUGACGUAAUAAACAGCAUGUGGUUUGCCAUUAUUUUGUGUCUGAACAAGUUUUAUGGCAUUGUAAACUGCUGUCAGACAUUGCUUGGUACUGUCAAAUACGCAUAGGUAUGUAUUUCUUCUUAGUAUAAAUUAGAUUCUAUUGCCAGUCAUUUUUCAGUCUUAUGAUCAAGAAUAGCAUGUCUUUUUACAAGAAUCAUCAAUGAGCAACCUCAGAUUUCUGUGUGUGUGUAAUAACUUUUCUAUUCACUGUAUCAAUAACAAUGAGCUACAUUUUCUCCUUGGUUAUUUCUGAUAGGUUAUUGUUCUUUUUUUUUUCCUUUUGUUCCAAGUCAGAUUAUCAUAAUUGUCACAAGAUUGGGGAUGAUGCAUUGAUCAAGUUGAAUAAGGUCUCGAUACAAAGCUUCGGAGGAAUCUGCCCAAAUUCUCUCACCAAAUCAACCUUGAAGUUCAUUUUUGGGAACAGAUACUUGGGAUGGAAAUGCUUUACAACCUUCGCUAAUUCUGGAUUUUGAUUCUCUACCAUACAAUCAAUCAGUUCUUUAGGCAUCAACAUAUCUCUACUUGGUAUUAAAUAUAACUCAUUGGACUAGAGAAAAUGUGUGCAGGUGCAUUGGGAAUGCAAUGAAGCGUUUUACGUUCAACUUUACAAUCCCACACAGAAAAAAUACAAAGUUUAAGCAAGGAAUGUGUCUAUAAAUAAGAAGCUCGAAGCAACAUGGUUCAUACUUACCUGGACGGGGUCGAUUGGCGAUCAAGAAGGUCCAUGGCCUAGGUCAGUAACAUCCAUUGCACUGAGGAUGGGUGCUGGCUUAAGGUCUCCCCAAGCGGGAGAGCCUACGUCAAAAUUUGUGGUAGAGGGGGCUGCGCAAGCCGCGGCCCCUGUCCAAUUCUAGCUCAAGACUUCUUUUAAGUUGUACUUGCAAUUCUAUGGCAACAUUUCCUAGGGAAAUUAUUCUUUGUUGUUUUUUUUUGUCUCUUUCAUUAUUUGUUGGUUACGGUCUUAAUCCCCUGUAUUGUGAACAGAAAUUUGUUACACAUGAUGCAUGGUAACUUUGAACUUCCAUGGCUCAUUUUCUUCUCAAGAUUCCUUUCCUUUUCCUUCAAAAAACAAGUCUUUCAUUACCUUUAUCCUACGAAUAACUCAAAAGUUUUUGAAUGUUUUGUCCAUGAUGCGUUCAGAGAGGGCAAAAGAUUUCAUUCAAAAUCAGUGGUCUCCCAUUGAUUCUGUUUAGUGUUUCUGUUAAGAGUGAUGUCAAAUUUCCAAACACAACCAAAAGUCUGACAUUUUAUUGGAACCGUAGGACUUGAUUUCAGAGAAAUGGUUCGUCAAAUUUUCUCCUUGUAGGCAAAUGAAGCAAAAAGAAUGAUAUUCACAGCGGCGAAUGAUGCUGCCCGAUUGUUUCUGGGGAAUGAUGACCUGAUAUCGAAAUGGCAACACGCUCAGCUGCAAUAUCACAGAGAGUUAAGCUUACGAGCUAAUGUUCAGCAAGACAAAGAUGUGAGUCAUCUCUUCUCGAACAUUAAGAAAGAUAGCAGAAGCUGGUCAAGGAUUGCAAGAGAAAGGGAAGAAGGUUUAUGUGAAAAAAAACCCAUUUGAGAUGCCUCAGGAGAACAUGAUGCCCUCCCUUUCUAUCAAGGAUGUAGUUGGUGCUCUGGAGAUAGAAGACCCAGUUUCAAAAUCAAUUUCGACAUAUCGAUUGAAUGAGAAAAUGUAUGACGCUGCAGAUGCGCAAGGGAAUGAAGAGGAUGCUAAUCUCUCAAUAAAGAGGGAAAGGAAUUCUGAUCUAGUCAAUUGCUAACUAUGUACAAAUCACGCAGCUAGUUCUAGUUCUAGUUCAAGUUCAGGAUCUUUUAUUUUUUAAUGGCCAUUCCCGUUUAUCAAUAAAUUUUACUUUACAGUUCAAA